rnacentral:rRNA from 1 species
UACGGAGGGUGCGAACGUUGUUCGGAAUUACUGGGCGUAAAGCGCACGUAGGCGGCUAUUCAAGUCGGGGGUGAAAGCCCGGGGCUCAACCCCGGAACUGCCCUCGAAACUAGAUAGCUAGAAUCUUGGAGAGGCGAGUGGAAUUCCGAGUGUAGAGGUGAAAUUCGUAGAUAUUCGGAAGAACACCAGUGGCGAAGGCGACUCGCUGGACAAGUAUUGACGCUGAGGUGCGAAAGCGUGGGGAGCAAACAGG